UGAUGAAUGAAUUUUGCCUUAUAGGAAAACUCUGUCCAAGAGCCUGGCCCACCCAGUGCUGCAGAUGACUCAGCCUCGCAGGGCGUCUCAUUCCCGAAGGAGGACCAUGUGAUAAUUGUACCUCGGAUUAUCCUGACUGGUCCUUUGGCUUCAGAUGAAGACUGGAAGCCAGUUCCUCAAGAUCCAGGGGCUUGAGACAGAAGGUGGAGUCAGUGGUGUGUCCUUCUCUGUCUGACUCUUUGAAUAAAGCUUUUCAUUCAUUCUAGUACUCUCCUAGAAAUACAUUUCGGUGUU
rnacentral:lncRNA from 1 species